rnacentral:rRNA from 1 species
UAGGGAAUCUUCCACAAUGGGCGGAAAGCCUGAUGGAGCAACGCCGCGUGUGUGAUGAAGGGUUUCGGCUCGUAAACACUGUUGUAAGAGAAGAAUGACAUUGAGAGUAACUGUUCAAUGUGUGACGGUAUCUUACCAGAAAGGAACGGCUAAAUACGUGCCAC